rnacentral:misc_RNA from 1 species
GAUGAAGAACGCAGCGAAAUGCGAUACGUAAUGUGAAUUGCAGAAUUCAGUGAAUCAUCGAGUCUUUGAACGCACAUUGCGCCCUCUGGUAUUCCGGAGGGCAUGCCUGUCCGAGCGUCAUUGCUGCCCUCAAGCACGGCUUGUGUGUUGGGCUCCGUCCCCCGAUCCCGGGGGACGGGCCCGAAAGGCAGCGGCGGCACCGCGUCCGGUCCUCGAGCGUAUGGGGCUUUGUCACCCGCUCCGUAGGCCCGGCCGGCGCUUGCCGAUCAACCAAAUUUUUAUCCAGGUUGACCUCGGAUCAGGUAGGGAUACCCGCUGAACUUAAGCAUAUCAAUAAGCGGAGGA